AGCAGCGCACAUCGCAUACUCUGUUCCCAAUUUUAUUAAACCUUUCUUAUUCUGCCUCUUUUUAACAUCAUCAAAAUCUCUCUUUCUCUUCUUAUAUCUACUUACUUACACUCCUCUCAUCACAACUAACUAACAUCGCUUCCCUAAUCCUAAUCCUAAUCCUAUAUCAUAUUUACCAACACUUAUAUUCCAUUCUACUUGUACUUUUUAGCUUCCGAAUAUAAUAACAUGGAAUCAACUUCAACAUUAUUCCCUCAACAACAAGAUGACUCUUCCGUUAAUUCCGAUUGCGAAAGCGGUGUUUCUGGCACCACUAUAUUACAACUAAAUAUUCCCGACUCGUUUUUACUUAGGAUUGGAGAAAGCGACGUCGUUCACAAUCUUUUAAAAACGAGGUUCCUUCGUGGACUGGGCCUGUUAGGGGCCCAAACUCAAAUUCUCGCCAUCCACAGAAACGCGUGUUCCGACUUCGUUUCACAAGCGCGUCUUCAAUCAUUUCACGUUUACGCAGAAGCGGUUUCUAAACUGCGCGCUGGUAAUGCCAACGUGAGAUAUGCUUGGUACGGUACUUCCGGUGAGAAUGAUGUGAAUGACAUUGUUUCACACGGUUUUAGUCACGUCCACGGUCAUAACCUGUGCCUCUCUCCAGAUGAUUCUCCUCUCCAAAGUGUGAAAAGGUGUGUUGUUGGUAGAGAUGGUAUGAGGCAUUUGAUACUGUGUAGGGUUAUUUUAGGGAGAACAGAGAUUGUGCAAGAUGAUACAAAGCAAUGUUAUCCAAGUUGUGAGGAUUAUGAUUCUGGAGUGGAUAGUUUUGCAGCUCCUACCAAGUACAUGAUUUGGAGUAGUAGAAUGAAUACUCAUGUUUGGCCUGCCUAUGUUAUAAGCUUCAGGGUUCCUUCCUUCAAAGAGAUUGAGAAGACUGAGGAAGAACAUGUAAGACCAUCUUCACCUUGGUUGCCGUUUCCAACUUUGAUUUCUGUGCUUUCCAAGGUUUUGCCACCACUUGAUAUUUCCCUGAUUUCCAAGUUCUACAAAGCUAAAAAAGAAAGAAAGAUUUCAAGACAUGAAUUGAUACAAAAAGUGAGACAAAUAGCUGGAGACAAGUUACUGAUUUCAGUCAUUAAGUCUUACAGAGCCAAGUAAGCAAUUGUCUAUGAGCAAUGGUUCGUUCUAGCUAGUGAAUCACAGCCAUUGGAUAAAUCACUCUAAUUAAAAAAACCUGCAAGUUUUCUGCAAACAAGGACAAAGAAUGCCAUCUAGACAGCUAGCAAGGCGGAUAUAAUCAUACGGUGGAUCACUUCAACUUUAACAAAAGCUACACUUCACGAAAUUUCAACAAAAUCAUGAUGUCAUUGUAAUUUUACCGAGCUCACUUAUGAUCCAAACAUACACAGAAUGAUUUCCUUCAUGAGUUUCAUAUUUUACACAUAAAGCUCUAGUUAAUACUGAGUAAGGAACUUUGAGAAGCGGCAACUUUAGAAGCAUUGGCCCAUACAUAGCAAAAGGAAUUUGCUUGAUUUUUCUGGUUGCUAGUUGGAUUGAUGUCCUCCAUGAAUAAGGAAAGGUUAUCAUGUACACAUUCACUGGCUCCAAUAUUCUAACAUUUGAAAAUGUAAAUAUAAAUUUUGUGCUUCUUUUUUACGAGGAAUGAUUAUUUUUUUUGUGGUGAAUAGUUCCCAAAAGAAGAGGCUAUAAGUAA